GGUGUUGGCUGGGGAGCUUGUUUGAUUUGGUAGGCCAACGUUGCUUUAACCUUACCCUGUGAAAGAAUGGGGGAGGUCUAUAUAAUGAAUUGUAUCGGUUACGUUUGUCAACUUCAGAGACUGCCUUACAAGUCUUUUUGACGUUUGAAUUACUGUAAACACUUUAGCCCUGCGAGUUCAGAAGUGCAGGCUUGAGUACUACACUAACAUGAAUGGCAAAGAUGCUAAUGCACGCGUGCAUGGACGGCUUUGUAGAAGUAUGUAGCACUAUGGAAACUAUCACUUUACUGUUUACGCAUAAUGCUCGUUUAUUUCAACGUAAAUACAAGUACAGUCUCACACUGAAGUACUCAUUGGCUUUAGUUGAAACGAACGUCAGGUUUCAGUUGCGUUGCAUAAUGACAAGCCACCUGCAACUCCAUUGCAAUCUGUGGAAAUUCCGCUGCAACCCGUCAACGUUGUGAAACAGGUUUCAUGAAAUGACCAAUGAAACAGGCGGCUGCGUGCCACGUGAUCACGUUAAACGUAAUCUUCAACCGACACUGAAUCAAUAGAAUGUUCGAUUCCAGAAAUUUUAGAGUCGAUUCUGGUUCAAAGAGACUGGAAUCGAUGGAGUCGAUUCCACACAAUUUCUUCCAACAGUCGGAGAGGGGCCUGGAAAAAGUGCAGUAUUACAUACAUAAUGUAUUAUUAUAAUUUAUUUUACGAAUGAAUAAUCUUAUAUUAACUUCUUAUCUGCUUUAGAGACACAAUAGAGUUUAGCUAUUUGACCUUAGCAAGGCAGUUUCGGAGAGCUAAGUCUGUCCAGUCCUGUGUGCUGUAGACGGACGCGUUUCCGUGUGUCUCGGACAGACAGGCGGCCGACGCUGUGUGCGGUUUCAAAGCUCUGGAGUCGAAACUCGAUUCACACAUGCCUGGACUCGGAGAGUCGACUCUUUGGAAUCGACUCACAGUCCCAAUGGUCAGGAAAAUUAAACAAGAUGGUUUGCUGGACGGUUGAGAAGGAGAUCCUUUUGAUCGACUUCAUGCAAGGUUGCGCGGAGAGUGCUUUGGGAUCCCAAGGAUGAAAACUACUACAGAAGAGGAGACCGGGAUGCGGUCCUGGAUGAACUUGCUGAGCUUCUAGGACACGAUGAGCGAGGAAACAAAUACAGCCGCACAGAUAUUAAAGAGAAAUUUCAUAGCAUGAGAACCGUUUUCAACCGAGAAGCCAAGAAAGUGGAAGCCUCUCUGCAGUCUGGAACUGCUACAGAUGCUGUGUAUGUGCCACGGUGGGUUCACUUCAACAGAAUGCUGUUCCUGAGGGAUGUACUUAGAACAAGACCAGUCCAGGACAAUAUGAAACACAGCACCAUUUUAAAGACAUGUUUGAAGGACGAGUGUGAGGAGGAGCUCGAAGAUGGUGCUAUACCAAGCACCAGUGACUCCUGUACAACCCCUGAAGCACCAGUACCAAGACAAAGAAAACGAAAAGCAAUUAUUGAUGAGAGCGAUGCCACAAGGAUGGACAUUUGUAAUAGCAUACUUAAAUGUCUGCAGCAGCCAUCAGAAGUGGAUCCAAAUGACACGUUUGGAAAAUAUGUUGCUGACACCUUGAAAGGUAUGAGCCUUUGGAACAGAGAACUUUGCAAAGCUGAGAUACAACAGGUCAUGUCAAAACAUCUUCUGAAUGACAUGCAAAAUGAUGCAUGACGUUUACAGAGAAGAGCAGUGUUCUUCAUUGUGCAGCUCGCUGGCCACUAGCAGCCCCUGGAGGGCAACGUGGUGGCCCUUGAACUCCUCAACCAUAGACACAAUCUCUGAAAUACAGAAAAAAGUAGGCCUAAUAUGUUUCAAUAAUAAAAGCACUGUCGUUCUCUAAAACAAGUCAUUAUACAGCUUCACCCCUAGGUGCAGCUGUUGGAGUUGUGUCCUAGGGGUCAGCUAUUUAUGUUCCAGUUUUAUUUCACUGACAAGCUUAGUUUAUUUACACUUACAAACAAAGAUGCCUGGAGCAGAACCGUGCCUACAUUUCUAAGGGAAAACCGCUCCUCAGCAAAAGAAGCAAAGAAGCACAGAAUAUACCGAGACUGUACAAAGUAGUGUAUCUGAUAUAAGGAAGCAUAUCUGAAAAACAGACAAUUUCAAGACAAAUGGAUCUUUGAGUUUCUUUUCAUUAUGAGUGCAGUACACUGCAGCCAAUGAUUUUAAUGUACGAGUGAAUAACUUAAGGUUUGUUGAGUUUUUUUUUACUAAAAUUAUUAAAACUUUAUGGCCUAAUGUUAAACGUUCAGCAUCAGCCAUCAGCCUAUAACACACCCAUUUCUGAAAAUCUUAUAGCCUGUCCUUUGUCACUAGUCUUGCCACAAUCUGCUCUUUUUGAAAAUGAAGUAGAUCUGUGACUCUUAAUGUGUAUUAAAUGAAAUCUACACAUCAA